rnacentral:lncRNA from 1 species
GAACAUCUUUAAGAAAUACUUGAAAGAUAAAUAAUUAAGAACAUGAACUUUUUUACAUAGGCCAACAUUUGUAACUGACUAGCGUUGAGGAUUUUGUAGCAACAAGAGCUCUGUAAAACAGAUGUCCAAAAAAGACUGCCUCUGCAAAGUGAUACCUCCCUCUGUUGUCUACUUUUGGGUUGAAAGUCUCAAUCACUUGGUCAGGUGUCACCCAAGCUUUAUCUUCCAUCACAGGUAAGAUGUACACUAAUCCAGCACUGUCAUUCCUUCUUAAGAACCUUAUUUCCAGUGCCUCCUGCUCUCGGUUAUUAACAAGUCCGACAAACUGCCUGAAUGAUUUGUUUGCCUUGAAUUUGACCAAGACACAGUCUCCAGUUUUGAUGUUCUUUGCAGCUGUUGACUGAUGCUCAGAGGACUGGUGUUCGGGACUUUCAGCAGACGUGAUUUCCGAGAGCAGAAAUGUAUGGACACCAGACUGUUCUGCCUUGGAGUAGAUUUUGUGACGCACUUUUCCCCAGGAGACUGGCUCCAUGUGAUGUACUGAUUGAGUGCCUGGAACAGCUGAGGAUGUUUCAUUUUAAUGUCCUCCACAAUCUUGGAGAGGAAGGUUGCCACAGACCUCUUGUGGUGUUCCAGGCUGUCGCUCACUAUGGCAUAUGACUCAGGAUCUCCAUCAGACCACAGGACUGAGGGAAACACUGUGACUUGCUUCUGAUGCCAGUGUGCCGACUGGAUCUGGUCUUGGUAGGCAGCGGUGUAAUUUUCGGCAAAAUCUACCAGCAG